CCUACGGGUAGCAGCAGUGGGGAAUAUUGGGCAAUGGGCGCAAGCCUGACCCAGCAACGCCGCGUGAAGGAAGAAGGCUCUCUGGUUGUAAAAUUCUUUUUUGAGGGACGAAACAAAUGACGGUACCUCAUGGAUAAACCACGGCUAACUACGUGCCAGCAGCCGCGGUAAUACGUAGGUGGCAAGCGUUAUCCGGAUUUACUGGGUGUAAAGGGCGUGUAGGCGGAACGGUAAGUCAGAUGUGAAAAUUAUGGGCUCAACUCAUACCCUGCAUUUGAAACUGUAGUUCUUGAGUGAUGGAGAGGCAGGCGGAAUGCCGGGUGUAGCGGUGAAAUGCGUAGAUAUCCGGAGGAACACCAGUGGCGAAGGCGGCCUGCUGGACAUCAACUGACGCUGAGGCGCGAAAGCGUGGGGAGCAAACAGGAUUAGAUACCCUAGUAGUC
rnacentral:rRNA from 1 species